rnacentral:rRNA from 1 species
AACGAUGCCGCGUGCAGGAAGAAGGCCUUCGGGUUGUAAACUGCUUUAGUACGGAACGAAACGGUGAUCUCUAAUACAGAUUGCUAAUGACGGUACCGUAAGAAUAAGCACCGGCUAACUACGUGCCAGCAGCCGCGGUAAUACGUAGGGUGCGAGCGUUAAUCGGAAUUACUGGGCGUAAAGCGUGCGCAGGCGGUUUUGUAAGACAGACGUGAAAUCCCCGGGCUCAACCUGGGAAUGGCGUUUGUGACUGCAAGGCUGGAGUGCGGCAGAGGGGGAUGGAAUUCCGCGUGUAGCAGUGAAAUGCGUAGAUAUGCGGAGGAACACCGAUGGCGAAGGCAAUCCCCUGGGCCUGCACUGACGCUCAUGCACGAAAGCGUGGGGAGCAAACAGGAUUAGAUACCCUGGUAGUCCACGCCCUAAACGAUGUCAACUGGUUGUUGGGUCUUCACUNACUCAGUAACAAACUUACCCGUUAAGUUGAACGGCUGGGGAAUACGGGCGCAAGUUGAAACUCAAA